rnacentral:rRNA from 1 species
GUGUCAGCAGCCGCGGUAAUACGUAGGGGGCUAGCGUUAUCCGGAUUUACUGGGCGUAAAGGGUGCGUAGGUGGUUUCUUAAGUCAGGAGUGAAAGGCUACGGCUCAACCGUAGUAAGCUCUUGAAACUGGGAAACUUGAGUGCAGGAGAGGAAAGUGGAAUUCCUAGUGUAGCGGUGAAAUGCGUAGAUAUUAGGAGGAACACCAGUAGCGAAGGCGGCUUUCUGGACUGUAACUGACACUGAGGCACGAAAGCGUGGGGAGCAAACAGGAUUAGAUACCCUGGUAGUCCACGCCGUAAACGAUGAGUACUAGGUGUCGGGGGUUACCCCCCUCGGUGCCGCAGCUAACGCAUUAAGUACUCCGCCUGGGGAGUACGCUCGCAAGAGUGAA